AUGGAUCACAACCCAGAAUUGCUCUGCUGGAACAUGUGGGGGCUUAAUAACCCUGCAAAAAGAAAGGCGAUUAGGGAAUUCGUGGAGGUGGUGAAAGUUAAUCUGGUGUGCUGUCAAGAGACCAAACUCUCUGUAAUUGACCAAUAUGAUGUUAUGCAAUGCGUAGGGCCAUCUUUUGAUGGUUUCUAUUACUUGCCGGCGUUAGAGACUCGGGGUGGCAUUUUAUUGGCUUGGGACUCUACGGUCUUGGACAUGGAUAGCUGCUACGUCUUGAGCUUGCAUUGGUUUUCCUCGAAGAGGAAAGGGUGA
rnacentral:rRNA from 1 species